rnacentral:rRNA from 1 species
UACGUAGGAGGCGAGCGUUAUCCGGAUUUACUGGGCGUAAAGAGCGCGCGGGCGGUCCUCUAAGUUAGAUGUGAAAGCUCCCAGCUUAACUGAGAGAUGCCAUUUAAUACUGGGGGGCUUGAGGGCAGCAGAGGAAGAUGGAAUUCCCGGUGUAGUGGUGAAAUGCGUAGAUAUCGGGAGGAACACCAGUGGCGAAGGCGGUCUUCUGGGCUGUACCUGACGCUGAGGCGCGAAAGCGUGGGUAGCAAACAGGAUUAGAUACCCUGGUAGUCCACGCCCUAAACGGUGGACACUGGAUAUGGGGGGUAUCGACCCCCUCCGUGUCGUAGCUAACGCUUUAAGUGUCCCGCCUGGGGACUACGGCCGCAAGGUUAAAACUCAAAGAAAUUGACGGGGGCCCGCACAAGCAGCGGAGCGUGUGGUUUAAUUCGAUGCUACGCGAAGAACCUUACCAAGGCUUGACAUGCAGGAAGUAGAAACCCGAAAGGGGGACGACCUGUUAAGUCAGGGACCUGCACAGGUGCUGCAUGGCUGUCGUCAGCUCGUGCCGUGAGGUGUUGGGUUAAGUCUCGCAACGAGCGCAACCCCCGUGGUCAGUUGUAUUUUUCUGGCCAGACUGCCCCGCAAAACGGGGAGGAAGGCGGGGAUGACGUCAAGUCAGCACGGCCUUUAUGCCUUGGGCUACACACACGCUACAAUGGGCGGUACAACGGGACGCUUAAGAGCAAUCUGAAGCGAAUCCCUAAAAACCGUUCUCAGUUCGGAUUGCAGGCUGCAACUCGCCUGCAUGAAGUUGGAGUUGCUAGUAACUGCGGGUCAGCUCACCGCGGUGAAUACGUUCUCGGGCCU